rnacentral:rRNA from 1 species
UACGGGAGGCAGCAGUGGGGAAUAUUGCACAAUGGACGAAAGUCUGAUGCAGCAACGCCGCGUGGAGGAUGACACAUUUCGGUGCGUAAACUCCUUUUAUAUGAGAAGAAAAUGACGGUAUCAUAUGAAUAAGCGCCGGCUAACUCCGUGCCAGCAGCCGCGGUAAUACGGAGGGCGCAAGCGUUACUCGGAAUCACUGGNNNNAAAGAGCGUGUAGGCGGGAAUUUAAGUUGGAAGUGAAAUCCUAUGGCUCAACCAUAGAACUGCUUCCAAAACUGAAUACCUAGAAUAUGGGAGAGGUAGAUGGAAUUUCUGGUGUAGGGGUAAAAUCCGUAGAGAUCAGAAGGAAUACCGAUUGCGAAGGCGAUCUACUGGAACAUUAUUGACGCUGAGACGCGAAAGCGUGGGGAGCAAACAGGAUUAGAUACCCUGGUAGUCCACGCCCUAAACGAUGUACAUUAGUUGUUGCGAUGCUAGACACNNCAGUAAUGCAGNNAACACAUNAAAU